rnacentral:rRNA from 1 species
AAAAAAAUUAAUGACUUUUUUUUGGUUUUUCAUGGAUGGUGGUGGCAUGGUCGCACUUAGUUUGGUGCAGUUGAUUCGUCAGGUUUAUUCGCGUUAAACGAACGAGACCCUCGGCCUUGUAAAUAGGUAUGCUGUUUACAGGGAACAUUGGCGGUUACGCCAAGGAAGCUCGAGGCCAUUGCAGAUCUGGAAUGUCCUUAGAUGUCCUGGGUCGCACGUGCGGUUACAAUGACGCCACGAACGAGCUUGCGUGAUGAAAGUUACGCAUAAUCAGCAGUCGGCGUGUUAAGGGAUGGUGUCUUGUAACUGUGCGGCUCCACUUAGGAAUGUCUUGUAAGCACAAGUCAACAUCUUGUGUUGAUUACGUCCCUACUCUUUUGAAAACACCGCCCGGGCGCUCCUACCGAUGGAGUAAAAUGGGUGAAUUUGAUGAACGUAAAGGGAAGUCAAAUUAAACCUGAGCCCCUUGGGGAAAGGGGGAGUGGAAAAAUUUCCUCCUG